rnacentral:rRNA from 1 species
UACGUAGGGGGCUAGCGUUGUCCGGAAUCAUUGGGCGUAAAGAGCGUGUAGGCGGCCCGGUAAGUCCGCUGUGAAAGUCGGGGGCUCAACCCUCGGAUGCCGGUGGAUACUGUCGGGCUCGAGUACGGAAGAGGCGAGUGGAAUUCCUGGUGUAGCGGUGAAAUGCGCAGAUAUCAGGAGGAACACCGGUGGCGAAGGCGGGAUCCUGGGCCAGUACUGACGCUGAGGAGCGAAAGCGUGGGUAGCAAACAGG